GAUGAGUGGCGAACGGGUGAGUAACACGUGAGUAACCUGCCCCCUUCUUCUGGAUAACCGCAUGAAAGUGUGGCUAAUACGGGAUAUUCUGCGCCUGCUGCAUGGUGGGUGUGGGAAAGAUAUUGUUUCGGUGGGGGAUGGGCUCGCGGCCUAUCAGCUUGUUGGUGGGGUGAUGGCCUACCAAGGCGGUGACGGGUAGCCGGCCUGAGAGGGUGGACGGUCACACUGGGACUGAGACACGGCCCAG
rnacentral:rRNA from 1 species